UACGUAGGGAGCGAGCGUUGUCCGGAAUUACUGGGUGUAAAGGGAGCGUAGGCGGGAUGGUAAGUUAGGUGUGAAAACUAUGGGCUUAACCCAUAGACUGCACUUAAAACUGCUGUUCUUGAGUGAAGUAGAGGUUGGCGGAAUUCCUAGUGUAGCGGUGAAAUGCGUAGAUAUUAGGAGGAACAUCAGUGGCGAAGGCGGCCAACUGGGCUUUUACUGACGCUGAGGCUCGAAAGCGUGGGGAGCAAACAGG
rnacentral:rRNA from 1 species